AAUGAACGCUGGCGGCGUGCUUAACACAUGCAAGUCGAGGGGUAAGUCAUUUCGGUGACUGAGACCGGCGCACGGGUGCGUAACGCGUAUGUAAUCUACCUUUUACAGGGGGAUAGCCCAGAGAAAUUUGGAUUAAUACCCCAUAGUAUUAUUGAAUGGCAUCAUUUAAUAAUUAAAGUUCCAACGGUAAAAGAUGAGCAUGCGUCCCAUUAGCUAGAUGGUAAGGUAACGGCUUACCAUGGCGACGAUGGGUAGGGGUCCUGAGAGGGAGAUCCCCCACACUGGUACUGAGACACGGACCAGACUCCUACGGGAGGCAGCAGUGAGGAAUAUUGGUCAAUGGGCGCAAGCCUGAACCAGCCAUGCCGCGUGCAGGAUGACGGUCCUAUGGAUUGUAAACUGCUUUUGUACGGGAAGAAACACUCCUACGUGUAGGAACUUGACGGUACCGUAAGAAUAAGGAUCGGCUAACUCCGUGCCAGCAGCCGCGGUAAGAC
rnacentral:rRNA from 1 species